UUUCAUUGAAAUCUAGUCCCUCUUAAAUAACACGAAGACCUGUGAAGAGAGCUUGGAUUUCCAUGUAAUGACAAUCACUGGAGCUGAAGACCGGCUGUCCCUUGCGGCUUUCUUGAAUAAGUUAAAUCCUCCACCCGAUGUCUGCAGCAGUCAGCUGAGAUUACAUUAAACUCUCCUAAAACCUAAAAACCGCAGUGUCUUACAGCAACUUACAGUGUCUUACAGUGCUUAAAUGCCAUUGUCUGUGGUGGAUAUAGGUUUCGGGGUCCUGAAUGAAGGAGCAGCCCCCGUUUGGAAUAUGCUGUCCUUGCUGCAGAGGGAAAAGAAAAAUGGUCACACGGAGCCAAGGCUUCGUGCUUCUGCUCACACAUGGUAAAUGUUGUUUCUGUUCACAUUCUAUUGGCCAAAGCAAAUCAUGGGCCAAGCUGACAUCAGUGGGGCAAGGAAGUCUACUUCCUCCAAGGGGAAGUCCUGCAAGUCAUAUGGCCAAGUCAAUACCUAUCCUGCAUAGAGGUAACAGCUACUCUAACUUCUAACGCUGUUGAAGAUCACGAGUUUCAGAAGGAUUUGUUGAAUCUGAGAUUUCUCUGGAAGAUUCCAGUGGAGAGGUAAAGUAGGAAGAUGGAAGAUUGAACUUGGCACUUAGAAGAGGUAUCUGGACUGGAGAUAGAGAUGAGGCAGUUGUGAGCCUAUACAUAGGAGAUAGUGAUGGACAGGAGACAAGGGCAGGUCAAUAGUGUCUUCAAGCUUGAUGGACAAGCCCCAGAAUAUGUCUAGCCUCACCCUGGGAACUGGAGACUCAGAGGAGACCCAAGUCUAUUGUCUCAACUACUGAGGUGGCCCACAGUAGACAUAUAUUAUGUGACCAUUAAUUUUGACCAUGCCUGAUUAGCUCCUACAUGGAUACCUGAUACAAUUUGAGCCCAUCUGGGGAAUGUUUUAUUGAGAAAUACAGAUGAUGGGGAACUAGAAGUUAACCUCUACAAAUGAUGGAGUUCUUGGGUGAAUCUCAACAAAAAAUUCCUGAGCUCUGUGGAACUGCCUGGGUUCCCACCCUUUUUGAUGCCUGGAAUCCAUGAGGGGAUCAUUAACAGCAUGAAGCAAAGACUGAGGCUGAGCUGAACUGGCCAGGAACCAAGGCAGGCAGCUUUACAAGUCUCCAUGACAAGAGCGAAGAGUGUGGUGACUGUGCUUCCUGAAGUCAUUGCAGAUUAUUUGGCAUCAAAUGACUAAAGGGCCCUUUUGUGCAUGGCUAAUCAUGUGGGGAUGUUUAGCACAAUCCAAUAUGCCCCUUGGUCCUGCCAUGGCACUCCAUAAGUGAGAUGUGAGCCUGCACUGUCUUUUCCAGACAAACCUUGCUAUGUGUGCAUGUGCGUGUGCGUGUGUGUGUGUUUUACUAUCUGUCUAGUGGAUAAGGGAUUCAAUUACCCCUUUAGCCUUAAAAAAUAUGCCAAAGGAUGGUGCUGGCCUUCUGUGGCUUGGAACUAACUUAUAUUGCACAAAUCUGUUUCUCAUUUAUGUGGUUCAGCCAAAUCACCAGGGUUGUUUUUCUCCCCAUCGAAUGUGACAGCACAGAAGGCUGGCAUCCAGGCUGGCAUCCUUUUUAUUGGGCAUUCCACGCAGAUCCUGAGCGUAGAGGGGAAUAUAAGACAUUACUGGAAAUUUUUUGAUGUCUGUCUUUAUAGGACAGAAGCUCUCAGAAUAAAUAAUGAUGGAAGAAGGCAUUUUCAAAUACCCAAUUAAUUUCUGUUACUAGACUCACAUUCUAUUAGCUGGUGUGAUUCCCUAAAGGAGUCUUAUGGUGAUGUUUCUAAUGCACUGCCUUCAAUACAUAAUUGUGACUGAUGCAAGAUAGAGUUUAAAAGAAUAUGAAAGAAAAUACUAUGCCCUAAUAAGGUAAACAAGCGUUCUGGAAUGUAAUACUUCCAGAGAACUGAGGGAUUUAUUUGUUUAAAUUUUAUAUAUAGAGUGUCCCCCAAAAAGUAUACACACUCUUUGAAUAAUUAUAAAGGCAGUGUUUAUCAAAAUACAUUUCAUUUUCAAAAUUGAGCUAUCAACUGUUAAAGUAUAUAUGCAUUUUUGGGGGGAGACAUGCUGUAUUAUGAUGAUUCUGUAAAAGGCCAUAGCUAGUAAAAAAUGAGAACCUAGACAUAACCUAAAAGUUAUUUCUUAAAAAGA